rnacentral:rRNA from 1 species
UGGGGAAUAUUGCACAAUGGGCGCAAGCCUGAUGCAGCCAUGCCGCGUGUAUGAAGAAGGCCUUCGGGUUGUAAAGUACUUUCAGUCGGGAGGAAGGUGGUAAGGUUAAUAACCUUAUCAAUUGACGUUACCGACAGAAGAAGCACCGGCUAACUCCGUGCCAGCAGCCGCGGUAAUACGUAGGUGGCAAGCGUUGUCCGGAUUUAUUGGGCGUAAAGCGAGCGCAGGCGGUUUCUUAAGUCUGAUGUGAAAGCCCCCGGCUCAACCGGGGAGGGUAAUUGGAAACUGGGAGACUUGAGUGCAGAAGAGGAGAGUGAAAUUCCAUGUGUAGCGGUGAAAUGCGUAGAUAUAUGGAGGAACACCAGUGGCGAAGGCGGCUCUCUGGUCUGUAACUGACGCUGGGGCUCGAAAGAGUGGGGAGCAAACAGG